rnacentral:misc_RNA from 1 species
AAAGUCGUAACAAGGUUUCCGUAGGUGAACCUGCGGAAGGAUCAUUAACGAGCGCUCGUGCCCCUCGGGGCCGAACCUCCCACCCUGUGCGUACCGACCCAUGUUGCUUUGGCAGGCCCGCCCUCCGGGGCCGCUGGCGCGCUGGCCCGCGCCUGCCAGAGGUAUUUCGAACACUGUUAUCAUAUGUUGUCCGAGUCUAUUGCAUAAUCGUUAAAACUUUCAACAACGGAUCUCUUGGUUCUG